UAAGCGGAGGAAAAGAAACCAUCAGGGAUUACCUCAGUAACGGCGAGUGAAGCGGUAACAGCUCAAAUUUGAAAGCUAGCUCUUUUAGGGUUCGCAUUGUAAUUUGUAGAAGAUGCUUCGGGUGUGGCCCCGGUCUAAGUUCCUUGGAACAGGACGUCAUAGAGGGUGAGAAUCCCGUAUGUGACUGGGUGCUUUCGCUCAUGUGAAGCUCUUUCGACGAGUCGAGUUGUUUGGGAAUGCAGCUCAAAAUGGGUGGUAAAUUUCAUCUAAAGCUAAAUAUUGGCCAGAGACCGAUAGCGCACAAGUAGAGUGAUCGAAAGAUGAAAAGCACUUUGGAAAGAGAGUUAAACAGUACGUGAAAUUGUUGAAAGGGAAGCGCUUGCAACCAGACUUGCGCGCUGAUGAUCAUCCGGGCUUCUGCCCGGUGCACUCGUCUGCGCUCAGGCCAGCAUCGGUUUCGGUGGUGGGAUAAAGGCCUUGGGAAUGUAGCUUCUUUCGGGGAGUGUUAUAGCCCUCGGUGCAAUGCCGCCUACCGGGACCGAGGACCGCGCUUCGGCUAGGAUGCUGGCGUAAUGGUUGUAAGCGACCCGUCUUGAAACACGGACCAAGGAGUCUAACAUCUAUGCGAGUGUUUGGGUGUCAAACCCAUACGCGUAAUGAAAGUGAACGGAGGUGAGAACCCUUAAGGGUGCAUCAUCGACCGAUCCUGAUGUCUUCGGAUGGAUUUGAGUAAGAGCAUAGCUGUUGGGACCCGAAAGAUGGUGAACUAUGCGUGAAUAGGGUGAAGCCAGAGGAAACUCUGGUGGAGGCUCGCAGCGGUUCUGACGUGCAAAUCGAUCGUCAAAUUUGCGUAUAGGGGCGAAAGACUAAUCGAACCAUCUAG
rnacentral:rRNA from 1 species